ensembl:lncRNA
ACACACACACACACACACACACACACACUGGCAAAACAUUCCAACACAUUAAAAAAAGACAUUGAAAAAGCAACUUCCAGUCACUGUCCUCAUUUGGUCAUUCAUUUCUCAUAGAAUCCUAAAUAGAACAAUCCAUUGGUGGGGGUGGGGGGUCUUGGUACUCUCCUCUAUAAAAUGAGGACAGAUGGAGAGUAUGGCCCCUGAGCCCUCCACACAUCUCCAGCUCCAAUGGAGCUUUGGAAUAUGAGAAAGGAUGAAACCACGCCCCCGCCCCCAUCUUCCGUGACCUCUCUCCUGGUGGGUGGUCACCAGGACACCUACCCUUUAGGACAGGUUCCAGUAGGUUAGGAGGGAACUCCUUCCGAGCACCCUCCUGGGAGACUGGGGGUGGAAUGCUCUACUCUGUGGGCGGCUGAACACUCCCCCACCCCACCCCACCCCACCCCACCCCGGCAAGGCUAGGGACAUCUGGCUGCCUGCAGCCUGGAACCUCAGAGCGCGUGGCACAACCACUGGGCGGGGAAUGCAGCCAGGGCAGUUCCCACCGGCUCCCUGCUCAGGGUGGGACCCCUUGCUUGGCGGGGGCCACUGGAAUGACACCUGGCCAAAUAUUAAUUACUGUUGCUUCCGAGGUCCCACCAGUCACAGCGGUGGCGAGCCCUGCCCAGGAAGUCCAAAUAAUCGGCAUCGCUGGUUGAGAAAUCUAAGGAAAUUGCCCGAAGUCUCAACCUGGCAAGAGACAAGGCUGGGACACUUUCCACUAAUGGCAGGAUCCACCCCCACCCCCCAAUCCAGCUGUUACAGAAGUGCAAAUACUACAAGGUGGGGCACCCAGCCAUGUGCACAGACCAUCACAACUGUUCAAAGGCUUGGGUAAUGGAUUAAGGAGGACAGACUGAGCGAGGAAGAGGAAAUCCAAUGCACAGAAACCAGGCUGGCUGGAAACAUCCAGUGUUGACAGAGUUUUCGGCAAUCGCAGGGUGAUUUUGUGUUUCUCUUGUUAUCUAAUUAGACUGAAAAACUAUAUGUAUUUCACCUUACAAAGAAGACAGUGGAUAGUGAUGGCAAUAAGAGUAGCCACAUGUCCUUUGCCGGCAUUUACUGACCAUCAGGCAGUGCGGAAAAGCUCUUUGCUUAUGUUUUCUUUUAACCCUCCCUGCGCCACUGAUCCAAAGCCCUCUGCCUACCAGGCAGGUUUUCCCUUGUACCCAGCUCCUCCUACCCAAGGCCAAGGGCUGAUCAGCUGCCUACAAGCCUAGUGCAGCAGGCCUGGGUGCAGACCACAGUCAAUCCAGCCAGAUUUUCCAACCCAAUGCCUGGCUCCUGGCCCCUGAGGGCCCUAGCUGCCGAGGCCUUCACCUUGCUAUCUGGCUGUAGUGACAGACCGUCCUGAGCACUCUUCAUGAGACAUGGCAGUUUUAGGCCCUUGCUGCUCUGGGCCUUUGGAUGUUUUAAUUUAUUGCUUACUUUUCAAGACUGGCAUGUUUCAGAUCCUACCAAUACUAUGCAGAGGACCGUCUUGUGUAAGAUUGCCAGGCUGUGUUUCUAUGGCUUGUCAGCGUAAGUCUGAUCCCUGUCAACUACUUUCCAGUAUUCCAGAGCAGGGCUCCAAUCAGACACACUUACCAUGCCCUAUGCGUAUGAGCCUCCUGUGCCUCCCACUCCUGUGCUAAGUGUGGUGGAAACUUCCUGAGUUUCUAGAAAAUAAACCAAAAUUGUUUCCUUGAAAACAUUUUCAGAAGCUGAGAGCCUGCCACCCACUCUAUUGCCCUGGGAACAGGGAAAGCCAUGUUGUGAAGGGCAAGAGGCUGGGGUAAACCCAGAAAUCGGGGAGGGUGCAGGGGUGGGUCAGCCUCCCUGGCACUUCCAAACAGGCACCAGGGGCCUGACUCAAUCUAGGCCUCCUCCCCACUUUCCUUGACCUUUGGAGUCUGAGAGAGAAAGCCCUGGUGGGUUAGGCCCCAUGGUCCCUUCCAUGUUCCUCUCCUAUGCUGACGGGACAGCUUGUCUACAUGGCCACCUCCAUGCAACUGUUAGUGUCUACAGGACAAAGUCUGCGCCUUUCUCACCCUGGAUCCCUGAUAGCUGGCAGAGAAUGCUAUUAGCGUGAGUGGGAAGGUAAAUGACAAGGGCUCUCCCCAUCUCCAACCGAGCAUCGUGCCACCACUCAAUCUGGAUUUUCUAACAAGUCUUGGUUAAGUUGCACAGCCAUGGCCUUUAGCACUGAUAAACGGUGCUUGCAACUCUGGCUUUUAACCCACAAGCAGACUCCUCCUUAACCUCCCCUGUGCCUCAUUUUCCUCUUCUGGAGAGUGGUCUAGAAAAGACAGGAAGAACCUGCGCCUGGUGGGCCCCCAGGCCAGCCUGGUGUGCUUCCUCCUCCCAGCGCUCAUUCUGACUCAGUCGCUGUUUCCUGUUCCUCACCUGAGUAAAAGUCCAGAAAUGAGGAAAAGGUUAAGUACACUAGAGCCUACCAGCAAGACAAAAAAAUAUUAGUGGCUGAUAAAAGGCUUGGCCGAUGAUUUUUUUUUUAAUGCAUAGAAAAUGCAUAUUCACAUGAGGUGGAAAGGAGCUAAAUUAUACAUGUGUUAUGCUGUGCAUGUUUAUGCUUGUAUAUGGAAGACAGCUUCUGGAAAGGUAGAAUUUGACUUUCACUUUAUAGCUUUCUAUUCUUUUUUUAUUUGGGUGUGCAGGUAUAAUUGUGCUUAAUGGUAUGUGUGUGUGUGUGUGUGUGUACAUAUACAUGUCUUUGCUUUACUAUAAGUGGGUUCGAGCACACAUGUCUGUGUUUUUACAUGUGUGCAUACAUAUGUUUAUGUGUAGCAUAUGCAUGUGUACAUGUUUGUGUGUGUGCAUGUGUUUGUGCAUGUUUAUGUGGAGUCCACUUUGGGCGUCUUCUAUUAUUCUCUACCUUAUUGUUUUUAUUUAUUUUUAUGUGUAUGAGUAUUUUCCCUGAAUGCACAUACGUGCACCGUUUGCUUGCCUGGUGUCUACAAAAGUCAGAAGAGGACAUCAGAUCCCCUAGGACCAGAGUCACAGACAGUUAGGAUCUGCAUGUGUGUGCUGGGAAUCAAACUGGUUCUCUGGAAGUGUUCUUAACUGCUGAGCCAUCCCUUUAGUUCCCCACACCUUAUUUUUUGAGACACAGUUUCUCACUGAACCUGGAGCUCCUUGAGUUCGAUAAGGCCAGCAAUCAGUCUCCAAGGAUCUGCUCCUGCCUCCUCAGUGCUCAGACUACAAGAUGCCACCAUGCUUGGUGAGAGCUGGGGAUCCAAACUCAACUCCUCACCAUUAAAACAGCAAAAGCUUUGCUAAUGGAGCCAGCUCUGCAACUCCACUUUGAGUAUAUGCUAGUAUUUCCUCAAAUACAGUGUGCACACUGUAAUCCUGGCAUUCCAUAGGAUCUGUGAGUUUGAGGCCAGCCUGGUCUACACAGUGAGUUCCUUCCAGGAUAACCAGAGCUACCUAGAGAGACCUGUCUCAAACAAAACAAAAAGACAAAAAAAAAAAAAAAAAAUAGCAACAGCAACAAAUAGACAAAAAUAAAGUAACAAGAUCUCAGUUGCUGUGCCCUUGGCAGUAGGGGAAUUAUUGAAAUAUUGUUUGUAUUUGUUCUGCCUCUCAAGUGCUGGGAUCAAAGGUGAGCACCACCAUGCCCAGCCAAAUAUUCUUUAGUAUUUCCUGAGCUUUACACAACUAGUUUAUAUUUCCUCUAUAAUGUGCUUAAAGAUAAAAACCAUUUCAAGCAUCUUCUCCCCUCCAGGGUGGGGGGUAGGCAAGUGACUGCGCACAGUGUGGAUGCAAAGGGUAGGACAGGGCAGAGGCUGUCCUGGAGCCGAGGUUUCUGCUGAGCCAUAUAACAUUGUUUAGCCUCAGCUGGCCAGUAGAGGCAAGAAAUAGGAUGUCUAAGUCAUCCUUAGUCACCCUCUGGGGGAGCAGGGCAGGGAGCAGGGGCAGGAAGUUACUUGGAAGGAGCCUCAUUCUGGCCCUGAAGCCUUCUAGACUGAGGAGUCUAAGACCUAGGCCCCUACCCAUGUGGCAUUGUUCCCUUGGGGCUGCCAGCCUACUGCGGGAGAGUAGAAGGGUUAGGAAAGAACACAGGAAAAUGCCCUCUGGCCAUUGGCUGGUACCAUCCUCCUGAGGAAGCUGUUGUGAAAAUUAAUUACCAUUUGUCUGGGACUUUUAGAUUCCUCAGAUGAAAGACCCAGUGGAAGGAGGCUCAUGAUGAGUACGUGUUUACCGUACUGACUUUCAUCCUAAAUUUCCAACGUGACAAUCACGCACCCCUCCCCUAGCCUCCCACUGCCUGGACAUCUUGCCCCAAAGUGUCAAAGGUCAAGCUUCAGAAUUGAAUCAGCACCAAAGAGGGGGAGGAGAGAAGGGAAGAGGAAGGGGAGGAGGGAGAAGAAGGGAGGGAAGGACCAGAGACAGGUGACAGACAUCCUGUGUUUCAGAUAGCUAAACCCAGGGGCUCCUCUCCCAGGUUAAAGGGGGGUGGGGGGGUGGCUGCAGCAAGUCUAAGGAGCUGAGGCUUGCAGAAAGUGGUUAUGGAUAUUCCGAGCUAGUCCUUGUUCCUGCCAGCCUAGAACCCUGAACUUUAAGUCUUUUUAGAAUUGAGGAGUGGGAAGAAUUCUAGAAGGUGCUAGGCAGCUUGCACCCUGCAUGGAGUCCACUGCAGUGCCUUUUCCUCCAUCAAACAGCACCGACUCUUUGUUGAUGGCUUCUGAAUAUUGAGAAGACAGGGUCCUGUUGCUCCUACUCCUGGAGAACUCUGGUUUUCCCGAGUCUUCUUUUGCCUUUUCAUCUUCAUUUCAUACAAGAUGACAGAUGAGCUCAAAAGCCAUGUGAAGUUUUUCUAGCCAGGUAGACAGAAUGGAUCCAGUGUGUGUGUGUGUGUGGGGGGGUCUUUGGCUUAUUUAUUAAUUUAGACAAGGGCUCAUUGUCCAGCUCUUGUUCUUGCACCACACUGGCUUUGAUGUCACAUAGCUCUGCCUCCUCCCUAGUACUGAGAUUAAAGGUGUUCAACACUAUGCCUGGUUGCUUUAAAAUUUUGUUUUUUGAAGACAAGUUCUCAUGAAGCCCCCAGACUCUACUUGAACUUAAUAGGUAACUGACCAACUGGCCUUGAGUUCCUGACCUUGUUUCCACCUCCACAAACGGGGAUUACAGGUGUGUACCACCAAACCAGCUUUUUAUACACUUAUUUUUUUUUAAUUAAAUUUUUCAUUUCCUUCUCUCUCUUUUUUUAAGACAAGGUCUUGAUUUAUAGACCAGGCUGACCUAAACUUUCAAUCCUCCUGUCUCUCUAGGUGCUAGAAUUAUAGGCAUAAUUGCCAUACCUAGUAGAGAGGGCCUUGAAGGCUCCAGCCCCUCCCCCAAGAAGACUGAAUUCACCACCUAAGGGAGCAGUCAGGCCAAGGAUGGCCUGUGCUCUGAACUGGAGAAGUCAGGAAACUGUCCCAGGCUCCAGGUGUGGAGGCCUCAUGAACAGAGCCUGUCACGGUCAGCAGGGCAGGUUCCUGAGACGAUGGGGUGGGCAAACAGGCAGUGGGACAAGACUAUGGAGGCCCUGAAGUGCCAAGUUAAAGGUCUAGGAUGGCCCAGAAGACUCCAGAGGCCUCCUGCAAAGUCUCUGAGCAGAGGGCAUAUGAUGCAAGUGGAGGGGAAGGUGAGAUAUUCCAGGAGAAGAAUCUCAAACCAUCCCGACUCUAUUUUAGCUGACGACACAUCAGCACCGAUGUCACCUCCCCCGUGCUCUCUGACACACUAGCCAGCUUUUUCAUGGCACUUAACGCCUCAGCAACGAUCCUUUAUACACUUGCUUACUUCCUUUGUUUCCGUGUCCCACAGAACAUAAACAAAACAGAGUAGGUGGUGGGGGGGUCAUUAUCUUGUUUUGUUCACUGUUGCCUCUCCAGCGGCUGUGACAAGCUAAUGGCAGAUGCUGCGAGUGUAUUUGUGGAAUGAAUAGAUAGAUUGAUAAAUGGAAUGAUGGCAUCACUAUUUCUGUCCCCAGGCCCCAAGCCCCAUGGUGAUGCUUGACUCAUACUCCUGUGUGGAAAUCUGGCGGUCUCUUUGUCUAGAUGUGUUGUUUCUGUUUUCCUCCCAGCCCUUCCCCUGUGCACGCAGCUCUACCCUCCCCAACAACUACAAGCUCCUUGGGCAGACUUGGCCAUGACAAUUCCCACUGAUCCAAUCCCUAUGAUGAAUGAAUGAAUGAAUGAAUGAAUGAAUGCAGGCCAACAAGAUUGUUCGGAAGGGCUGCUGAGGUUCAUGUUGGUCUUCACUGACCGCAAAAGACAGAAAAACCUGGGGAGGCAAGUGAAUGGAGGUGAGGGAAAUGAGGAUGGCUGGGAGCCCAGGCUGAGUCCCCAGGGGUUAGAUUGCUUUUUCCAUGUGCCAUGUUCUGUGUUCACUCUGCCAUUGUCCUGUUAUUCCUGACAGAAAAGGCCCCCUGCAAGAAAUUAUCAGGACAAAGUUGAAGGGGCACCAAGAUUUUGGAUCCAGUGGUGACUAUUUGUUGGUUUAUAGCAUAGGUGAGGCCUCACCUCCUGGGUGUGUCUGCUCCCUCCACCGAAGGCUGCAUCAGAAAGUCUUCACCCAGCUGUCAGAGGUGGAGCUCCUGCACCCUUGUCUUCCUAGAGUACAUACUCUACUCCUCCCCCAGGCACGAGCACACACAGGUCGUAGGAAGUGACUGGAUGCACUCACCCGGUAAAGGGCUCUGAACAGUCAAUAAACCCAAUUGGGAUGACUUUUUGUAAUUGCAUUCGGCUGAAUGCCCCAAGACUGCAGUUGGUCGGUUCAAAGGACAGUCCUGCACAACAUCUUGUCUCAAGAAGAUAAAAACCACAGCAACUCUUAAGAACAAAGGCAACCUCCAAAAAGCCCAAAACUAUUCCAAUGGCUUCGGUGAAAUGAACAAAUUAGUUGAAAAACACCAAUCUACUAAUGCUCACUCAGCAACAACUAAGUCACUGGGACGGCUCUCCUGCUACUGAAGAAAUGUUAUCGUGUCUAACAAACCUCAUAAACAAUGUCAGGCCCAAAUGACUGCCUGGCAAAUUCUACCAGACAUUUAAAGAAGAAACAAUAGCAACUGUGCAAUUGUUUAUAGACGCUGGUCUACUAGACCUGUAAAGAAGAAACAAUAGCCGGGCGUUGGUGGCGCACGCCUUUAAUCCCAGCACUCGGGAGGCAGAGGCAGGUGCAUCUCUGUGAGUUCGGGACCAGCCUGGUCUACAGAGAGAGUUCCAGGACAGCCUCCAAAGCCACAGAGAAACCCUGUCUCAAAAAAACAAAACAAAAACAACAACAACAAAAAGAAGUAGUAAUUACUCAAUUGUUUGUAGAAGCUGGACAAGGAAACAUUCUCUCUAGUUAUUUUACUUAUUUAAAGAUUAAAAUUACAUCUAUUUGGAAUGGAGAGCAUGUGAUAUACUCUUCCAGAGAACCCAAGUUUGAUUUCCAGCAUGAGCACCCAGUGGCUCACAAGCACCUACCUGUAACUCCAGCUCCAGGGAGACUGAAACCUCCGGCCUCUGUGGACACCUGCUGUGUUCACUGCACACACAUGCACACACAUGCAAAACAGUACAAAUAAAUUACGUUUAUUUUAGUGUAUGUGGCAGGCUCAUAUGUAAGUCAGAGAACAAUUUGCAGGAGUCUGUUCUCUCCUUCCACCCAGUGGGGCUGGGGAUCAAACUCAGGCAUCAGGCUUGGGCAGUAGGUACCUUUACCUGAUGAGCCAUCUCACCAACCCCUCCCUAAGAAUUUAAUGAGGGAAGCAUCAUUUCUGAUACUAAGGCAAGACAAAUGCAUCUCUAGAAAAGAUUACAGAUUAAUAUCCUUCAUAACUACAAAAUCUCUAACAAAAUAUUAGCAAAUUGAUGCCAGAAAUGUGUUUUAAAAAAUACAACACAGUGGAGUUUCCCCCAGAAAUAAGAUUCGAUCAAAAUUUAUUUAUUUAUUUAUUUAUUUAUUUAUUUAUUUAUUUAAUUUUAGUUUUUUCAAAACAGGGUUUCUCUGUGUAACUGCUCUUACUGUCCUGAAAAUUCACUCUGUAACUAGGCUGGCCUUGAAUUCACAGAUAUCCACCUGCCUCUGCCUCCUGCGUGCUGGGAUUAAAGGCAUGUGCCACCACUGCUUUGCCAAGAUUUGGCCAGUAUUUAAAAAGCAAUCCACAGCUAGGAUUGAUGACAUAAUCCUUUAAUCUGAGCAUCACCAAGCAAGACAGACAGAUCUCUGUGAAGUCUGCAUAGUGUCUAUAUAGUGAGUUCCAGACCAGCCAGGGAUACAUUGUGAGACUGUGCCUAAAAACAACAACAGCAGCAACAAUAAAACCAAUCCAUUGGCCAGACAGUGGCACACACAUUUAAUCUCAGCACUUGGAAGGCAGAGGCAGGUGGAUCUCUGAGUUCAAGGCCAGUCUAGUCAUAGGGCAUGUUCCAGGACAGCUAGGGCUACACAGAGAAACCCUGUCUCAAAAACAAAAACAAUAAAACAAAAAGCCAAUAAAAAUACCAAUACCAAAACCAAAAACCCUUUUGGACUUAGAGAAAUGAAAUAAUUAGUCCAUCUCCACACAGCUGGUAACUGACAGAGACAAAACUCAAAUAAUUACUGCUAUCUCAUUAAUCAGAACCCAUGGUACCACACCACUCUUUGGUCUCUUACCAGCCUAUGGGUGGGCUGCUUUUGAGUCCUAUAGGUUGGAACCAAUAGGUUUCUUUCAGUUCAGAGCCCUGUCUACUUGGAUCCAAGGAGCAGGCGCUCUCGAUAGGUCAGGUCCAGCUAGAAGCGGUGAGCAACUUGACUUCUAUGAUGUUCAAUUAAAUGGCUCAUACUUCCAUAUCUCAUAAGAAAACCCCCCAAAAAUGUCCAUAUAAAAUCUAUCCCUAAACUGGCCCCUGUGUUGGCUAGCUUUGUAUCAACACAACCCAGAGUUAUCUGAAAGGGUGUGUGUGUGUGGGAACCUCAAUUGACAAAACACUUCCAUUAGAUCCUACUGUAAGGCAUUUUUAAAAUUAGUGAUUGGUGGGUGAGGGUCCAGCUUGUUGUGAGUGGGGCCACCCAUGGGCUGGUGUUCCUGGGUUCUAUAAGAAAGCAGGCUGAGCAAGCUAUGAUGAGCAAGCCAGUAAGCAGCACUCCUCCAUAGCCUCUGCAUUGGUUCCUGCCACUAGGUUCCUGCCCUGCUGAGUUUCUGUCCUGACUUUUCAGUGAUAGGCUACAAAGUAGCUUUGCGUCAAGGUGUUUCAUCCCAGCAAUAGAAACCCUAAGAGAGCCACAAUUGGACUACUCCACCCUUAUCAUCUAAUAAGUGCCUUCUAGAUAAUAUAUUUACAUUAUUUUGAUCCCACUCUAG